rnacentral:rRNA from 1 species
GUGAGGAAUAUUGGUCAAUGGGCGGGAGCCUGAACCAGCCAAGUUGCGUGAAGGAAGAAGGAUCUAUGGUUCGUAAACUUCUUUUGCAGGGGAAUAAAGUGCAGGACGUGUCCUGUUUUGUAUGUACCCUGAGAAUAAGGAUCGGCUAACUCCGUGCCAGCAGCCGCGGUAAUACGGAGGAUCCGAGCGUUAUCCGGAUUUAUUGGGUUUAAAGGGUGCGUAGGUGGUUUGAUAAGUCAGCGGUGAAAGUUUGCAGCUUAACUGUAAAAAUGCCGUUGAAACUGUCGGACUUGAGUGUAAAUGAGGUAGGCGGAAUGCGUGGUGUAGCGGUGAAAUGCAUAGAUAUCACGCAGAACUCCGAUUGCGAAAGCAGCUUACUAAGCUACAACUGACACUGAAGCACGAAAGCGUGGGGAUCAAACAGGAUUAGAUACCCCUGUAGUCC